AGCAGGCGCGCAAAUUACCCACUCCCGGCACGGGGAGGUAGUGACGAAAAAUAACGAUACGGGACUCAUCCGAGGCCCCGUAAUCGGAAUGAGAACAAUUUAAAUCCUUUAACGAGGAUCAAUUGGAGGGCAAGUCUGGUGCCAGCAGCCGCGGUAAUUCCAGCUCCAAUAGCGUAUAUUAAAGUUGUUGCGGUUAAAAAGCUCGUAGUCGAAUCUGUGUCCCACGCCGCCGGUUCGUCGCUCGCGGCGUUUAACUGGCGUGUCCGUGGGACGUCCUGCCGGUGGGCUUAGCCCUUUUGCGAGGGCGGCCCAAUUAUAAUCCCGCCGUGGUGCUCUUCACCGAGUGU
rnacentral:rRNA from 1 species